rnacentral:rRNA from 1 species
UACGAACUGUGCGAACGUUAUUCGGAAUCACUGGGCUUACAGGGUGCGUAGGCGGCUUGUCGCGUCGACUGUGAAAUCCCGCGGCUCAACUGCGGGUCUGCAGUCGAUACGGGCAGGCUAGAGUUCGGUAGGGGAGACUGGAAUUCCUGGUGUAGCGGUGAAAUGCGCAGAUAUCGGAAGGAACAUCAGUGGCGAAAGCGACUUCCUGGACCAAUACUGACGCUCAUGUGCGAAAGCGUGGGGAGCAAACAGG